rnacentral:rRNA from 1 species
CAGCAGUAGCCGCGGGAAUACCGAGGGUGCGAGCGUUAAUCGGAUUUACUGGGCGUAAAGCGUGCGUAGGCGGCUUCUUAAGUCGGAUGUGAAAUCCCUGAGCUUAACUUAGGAAUUGCAUUCGAUACUGGGAAGCUAGAGUAUGGGAGAGGAUGGUAGAAUUCCAGGUGUAGCGGUGAAAUGCGUAGAGAUCUGGAGGAACAUCAGUGGCGAAGGCGGCCAUCUGGGACAACACUGACGCUGAGGCACGAAAGCGUGGGGAGCAAACAGGAUUAGAUACCCCCGUAGUCCCUGUCUCUUAUAC